rnacentral:rRNA from 1 species
AUUGAACGCUGGCGGCAUGCCUUACACAUGCAAGUCGAACGGUAACAGGUCUUCGGAUGCUGACGAGUGGCGAACGGGUGAGUAAUACAUCGGAACGUGCCCGAGAGUGGGGGAUAACGAGGCGAAAGCUUUGCUAAUACCGCAUACGAUCUCAGGAUGAAAGCAGGGGACCGCAAGGCCUUGCGCUCACGGAGCGGCCGGUGGCAGAUUAGGUAGUUGGUGGGAUAAAAGCUUACCAAGCCGACGAUCUGUAGCUUGUCUGAGAGGACGGCCAGCCACACUGGGAGUGAUACACGGCCCAGACUCCUACGGGAGGCAGCAGUGGGGAAUUGUGGACAAUGGGCGCAAGCCUGAUCCAGCCAUGCCGCGUGCAGGAUGAAGGCCUUCGGGUUGUAAACUGCUUUUGUACGGAACGAAAAGACUCCUUCUAAUAAAGGGGGUUCAUGACGGUACCGUAAGAAUAAGCACCGGCUAACUACGUGCCAGCCGCCGCGGUAAGAC